AGGGGUUCUGUUACAACACCGUAAGAGAUGAAAAGUGCUGCGCUUGCUUGUGGAGCAUCAAGCAAUAUCCUCUUUUCCUGAGCUGGACAUCUCAUCAAAGGAUAAGAUCCCCCUGGAUCUACUCCAUUUCCUCCUGCUCAUUGUGCAAUUAAGAACUGUGUUCAUUCAACCCAGAACUGAGGCCUCAGUGGACCGGCACUUCAUUCCUCUUGUGUCUGUUGUAAUGGCAAGUCCCCACAUUUAUUCUCCCAAUGCACUGCUGUACUGCGCUGGUGAGAAAGUCAUUACCCUUCUCAGGGAAUAGCCGCAUGACAUGGCAUGCAGUUGUCAACAGCCUGAAAAGACAAAAAGCUGUUACUUUUGAAACAACAAAAAGAAAUGGGAAAGCAGUUUCUGGAAGCUGCAGCAAUUUCCUCAAGGACAGCUGUAAAUGGCACUUAGUGCAUACAAAUAGGGGUCAGCGAUGAUGAUGAGAAAGCCACAAAUAAACAAGUCAACAACAAUGCCAAUGAAAAGUAUUCUGCUGCCAAGAAAAUACUUUAUUUCUCAUUAGCAUAAUCAUUGCUUAGCAUUUAAACUUAAAUGCCACAAACAAUUAAAAAGUUAUGAUAUGCUUAAAUAUUUUGUCAUUUUUUGGCGAGAUGGCAGACUUGGGGAGAGUGGAGUAUGAAUGCCAUCACUGCCUUGUUCUAUUAAUCUCCUUCAUUUGAGGAAUUAUCCUUUUGCAUCAAUAGGCUUAUGGCAGCUCCAAACCUCGUACAAACCAACAUGAUCCCCCUGAAGUGGAGGAAGUUGUACCAAGUAGCAACAGCAGAAGCUUUCAGAUAUUUAAGAUGCUGAAAUCAGAAUCAAGGAUUUUCACCACAGAGAACUUCAUACUAAACUUUUUCCUCCCAGGGAAAGGCUGUGAGAGGCACAGGACUAAGAUCUGGUCAAAGAAAAUUCCUUAGACUGUUUUGUGUGGAUAUUGUUUCUUCUACUUCUUUUCCCAAACCUUACAGUGUACGUACACACAUCCCAGGGACCCAGAUGGCCUGUGAGCAGAAGUUUGGUGUCAUCUUGGAAGAAAGUGAAAGAGUGAGCAGUUGGGACUUCCUCAAGCCAGAGAAAAGAGCAAGGACAGCAUUUCCCAGUCUUCCCAGCUGUCCUCGAGCAUUGCUUCUAACUUCUUCAGGAAAACCUCUCCAGGAAGAAAUUCAUUACUUAAGUUCCUCACUGGCAACCAGGAGCUUCUCCACAGCCACUCAGCCAGGAUCUGACUCAAGCACAGCACUCAAGGCAUUGGUAUUAGAUCAGCCCUUCCCACAGCGAACCCCCUGGCGAGGCUCUGAGGAGCAACUGGUCACAGAUUGGAGCCCACAGGUUCUCCCUGCUUCUUGGGGGCAAUCCCAGUGAGGAGAAAUGGAGCAGCUGCACAGAAAAAUUUGAGGAAUAAUUCAUAAAUAACUUUAAAAAAAAAAUUAGCAUUUCAAAGUUAGUUUCCAGAGAAACCCUACCGCUCUGAGAGAGCACACAGCAAGGUCUAUGCCUGUGAGUCUAGCUCUCAGAAGAUGUUUACCCAACAAAAGUGUCAGAAAUCAGACAACUCAAAAAUGCCAAAUUUUCAGUGGCUGUUGUUAUUCCCUGGGGCCAUUCAUAUCCAGUUUUCUCCGAGCAAGAAAUAAUCACAGGGUAAUGUUAUAUAGAUAACUGUAAUAUCAGUUCUUUCUCUUUCCCUUAAAUGCAUACAGGAUCAGAUAGGAAGAGUUUCAAAGCCCAGACAAACUUUCUUUCAGGCAGCAGAAUACCAGGAUAGGAAAUGUAAGUGAGGCUUAUGCAUUCAUCACAGCUAGUUUUUCUGAAGUUGUGUAGACAGUAGGUGUGUUAUCAUAUCUUAUAUGAUCAUGCUUUGUGAGAAUUUACUGAAGCUAAUCACCAAGCUCCCUAGGUUUCUCACUGAGAAUCACUACUGAAGUACAAACCUUAAACUUUCCUUACCAAGAAAAAAAAAGUGGGAUGAGGAAUAUAUCAUUAUAGGCAAGCUGCUCUCUUACUAGAAACUAAGUUUAGCUCUAGAUAGAGCUGUCUAUAUAGACCCUUAUAACAGUCUUCCAAUACCUAACGGGGGCCUACAAGAAAGCUAAAGGGACUUUUUAUAAGGGUCUAUAGGGAUAGGACAAGGGGGGAUGGCUUUUAACUGACAGAGGGGAGAUUUAGAUUAAACAUUAGGAAAAAAUUCUUUACUAUGAGGAUGGUGAGGCCCUGGCACAGGCUGCCCAGAGAAGCUGUGGCUGCCCCAUCCCUGGCAGUG